ensembl:snoRNA small Cajal body-specific RNA 10
GCCAUGUGAUGAUAUCAAGGCUGUGGUGAUUCAGUUGGUUUGGCUAAGCCCGGGGACCUUUGACCUAUUAAGGUCUGUAAUCUUGGUGGGCAAUACAGAGUUGUGUGUGUUCGCUGUAAGGGCAGACCAACAAGAAAUAUUUCCUACUUUUGAACUACCUCUCUUUAAAAGAGGUGGUUCCUCCAGUUGCCAGAGAGAAACUGGGGUAACUGGAGUGAGAGAGUGGGGACAGGGCAUGUUCAGGGUAUCAAGGUCAGGGCUCCCAAAGGACUUGGCUUGUGUUGUGACCACUGAGAGAUGAAACACAGAUCUUUGGUAAUCUGAUGGCU